CGGCGGACGGGUGAGUAACGCGUAGGAAUCUACCCGGUAGUGGGGGACAACUUGUGGAAACGCAAGCUAAUACCGCAUACGCCCUAUGGGGGAAAGCGGGGGAUCUUCGGACCUCGCGCUAUCGGAUGAGCCUGCGUAGGAUUAGCUAGUUGGUGAGGUAAAGGCUCACCAAGGCGACGAUCCUUAGCUGGUCUGAGAGGAUGAUCAGCCACACUGGAACUGAGACACGGUCCAG
rnacentral:rRNA from 1 species